UCAGUGUAAUAUCAGAGCAGCAGUGUGGUAUGGUCCUGAUUCUUUAAUGCAGAUGUUUGUUUUUUUCAACCCUAUGUCAAAUGCAGUGUUUAUGUGCUAAAAUAAAGAGUAUUCUGAUAUCCUUUUUUCCUGGUAAACAGGAAAUGAAUGCCCCCACUUUUAGAGCAGGAAGGAAAUGUUGCUUCACUACUACUCUGACAGAUGAGGCCUGUAUCACAUAGUGCCAGGUAUUAUAGAAGCUGUGGCAAAAGACUUCUUCAACAGUGAACAUGACCAUCCUGAAUCAAUCCGAGGAGGAGCGCACAGGGCAGAAUGAGCAUGUGGUGUUUCUGGUCACCCGAAAGAAAAAUUGCAGAAAAGAAAAGCAAAGGAAAGAAGAGGAAAAGGCAUGGAUAAACUACGGGACAAAGAGGAAACCAAGGAAGCCCUGGGAAAAAUGAAGGAGAAAUACUCAGCACUGCCCCACUGCCUGGUGAAGAGGCAGCCAAUACCCAGGUCGGCACUUGCAGGGUUAAGGAGGAUCGCGUGACAUUUCCAAGGCAGGACGGUCUAGAGCAAGAUGACUGUUUUGCCUUUCAUAGAUUGCUUUGCUUCUCAUAUAUUGUUUUGCUUUGCUACUGUUAUGCUUUUCACACAAAAUGUUCUAGUGCAGAUUGACUUUGUUUUGCUUUUGAUGCAGCUGCGCUUGUAAAAGAUUAGGGAAAGAUGUGUUCAAGGUGCUAUAUUUGUGUGAGAGUGUAAAACUGUUUUCCUGAGCUUUGAGGAAAAAACAACUCCUUAUAGGGAGGACUUCGAGACUGUUCUAUGAUAUUGGUGAUGUAGUAAUCUGCUCAGUGUUGCUCUGCUAAACAUGUAUAAGUAUUGGGUCACCUCGUCUUCAAACUGAGAGAGAAUGUGUUCGUGUUACUGCUGUGGUGUGUUCAUGUAACUGCUUCUCUUCCCUUGCGCGCAUUGUAAUAAACUUCUUGAACUGCUACUGAUCGGAGUCAUCAGUCAUUUCAUACAACAGGAGACUUUCCCCUUACUACAGAACUUGUCAACGAGGAUGGGAUUCACUGCAGUGUAUAUUCAUUCCUGUCUGGUACUGGUUUGCCAAGGAGAGUCCAAAGGAGGGACUGAAGAGGCAGCCAAUACCCAGGUCAACACUUGCAUGGUUAAGGAGGAUCGAGUGAUGUUUCCAAGGUAGGAUGGUCUAGUGCAAGAUGACUGUUUUGCCUUUCAUAGCCUGCUUUGCUUCUCAUAUAUUGUUUUGUCUUGCUACCGUUAUGUUUUUGUUACUGCUAUGCUUUUCACACAAAAUGUUCUAGUGCAGAUUGACUAUGUUUUGCUUUUGAUGCAGCUGCACUUGCAAAAGAUUAGGGAAAGAAUGUGUUCAAGGUUGCUGUAUUCGUGUGAGAGUGUAAAACUGUUCCUGAGUUUUGAGGAAAAAAAAACUCCUUACAGGGAGGACUUUGAGACUGUUCUAUGAUAUUGCUGACGUAUUUAUCUGCUCAAUAUUGCUCUGCUAAACAUGUAUAAGUUUCACUUCACGCCAUCCUACCCACAGACGCUGUGGAUCAAAGCGCUGAUUUUCUGCAAUGAAUUUCCCUUCCACAUUGUCUUUGCAGGGCUGCAAGACUGCAACCUAAAUAUCACCUUUUCCAUAAGAUUCAAGUAUUUUAUUUCUGUGGUUGAAGAAAAUGUUUCCUUUUUUAACAAUAAGCUGGAAUACCAGUGUAGGAUAAAGAAAAACACACGACAUUGCUGUGAAUUCCCUACUGAUAAAAUUGAUAGUAAGACACGAUUCUUAAAUAAAAAGCUAUUUAAAAGUACAAAUACUGUAAAUUACAUCAGUGUUGUAUCUGUGACAUUGUAAGAGGUUUUACCUUUUUUUUAUUAUGCUGUUCCACUGUACCCAGCUCAAAGUUAAGCAAGCAGGUGUCAACAUCCAGAAAUUUGUGCCAGGAUUACAGACCUUUGACAUCCAGUUAGACAAAUACUUCAGCAUCAUUCACCCUGAGGUGACUCUCACAAUCGAGAGCAUCAGGAAGUUCAUUAGCAGUCAGUUUGUCUUGAAGACACAGAGGGAAAUGAUGCCUGAGUCUUGGAAGAAUCAGUCGAUGCUUAAACUCAGAGGUGCUGAUGAAAUACCAACCACACAGGGAUCUGCUUUACCUUACUGACAAAGAUAAAUAUCAUUUUUGCCAUGCAUGUACAAGAUUGUGGUGAUACACUAUUCUGAUAACUUGACUAAACAUUGAAAUACAUUAAACAGCUACCUGCUGAACAAACAGAUUUGUACACUCCCUAAUAAUGGUCUGAAUUUUUAGGUUGAAACCCCUGCAAUUUACUGUAUCCCCUCCAAUAGAAAAACCCCAGCAAAAAUGAACCCAUUUGUGAGAACAUUUAUUAAGUAUAACAAGUAAGUAAAACCAGACAAAUACAGAUAUUUGAAACAAAUGUGUUUUUCCAGGUUUUCCCUUGAAUUUUCAUAAUGUACAUAAUGUAAUAUUAGUAAUAAUAUUACGCUUCCCAGCUAUUGAAGCAUGACCCUUGACAGUGAGCCACACAUGGCAGUAAGGUCUCCUAUAGGUACAUCAC